GUGCUCACUUUGGCAGCACACACACUAAAGUUGGAACAACACAGAGUAGAUCAGCAUGGCCCUCCUGCAAGGAUGACUCACAAAUUCUUUAAGAGUUCCAUAAAAAC